rnacentral:rRNA from 1 species
UACGUAGGUGGCAAGCGUUGUCCGGAUUUACUGGGCGUAAAGGGCUCGUAGGCGGCCAACUAAGUCGGAUGUGAAAUCCCCAAGCUUAACUUGGGAACUGCAUCCGAUACUGGAUGGCUUGAAUCCGGGAGAGGGAUGCAGAAUUCCAGGUGUAGCGGUGAAAUGCGUAGAUAUCUGGAGGAAUACCGGUGGCGAAGGCGGCAUCCUGGACCGGCAUUGACGCUGAGGAGCGAAAGCUAGGGGAGCGAACGGG